GAGUCCUCCUCGUCCCCGACCACCUCGUCGCCGCACGCAGAUGAUCUUGUGGAGGCGAGCAGCCGUAGAUCGCCUUUUCUUCGCGGCCGUGGCGGCGCACAUGGAGGAACAACGCCCGCUCCUCGUCCUUGUCGCGUAGGAGGUUGGGGAGGAUCAGGAGAAGGCACGCGGGGCUGGGCUGGGCUGACCUGGUUCGUCGCGGGCGCGGGGAGACCGGCGGCGGUGGCCAGGGCCCGUCGACAAGCGCCUCCACAGGAGGAAAAGAAGAAGAGGAGGUGGCGCUGGGAGACCGGCUAUGGCGACGGUCGGCGAGCUCCGCCACGAUCGGCCACGAGCCACCAUCGCCGUCGGGCCUCUCACCCAUCGCCGGAGGUGGAGGAGCGGAAGGGGUGGCGCUGGGAUGGAGGAGGAGGAGCACGGAUUUGGCGCCGACGAGCUUCUCCACGAAUCGGUCCAUGCGUGAGAUGGCGAGGGCGUAUGUGUGAUGGCGCUGCUCCGUGAGAUCCAUGGACGUGAGAUGCGAAGGACGCCAGAGGAUUUCCAUGGCUAGGAAGCUGGAUAAAAUCCCCAAGUUGAACUCCCCGGUUCUUUGAUUUGAUUUCAUUUGAGAAGUGGAGUAGAACCACUCGCCAUUCCCAGACAUGCCAAAGAGAAACAUGCGACCAAAUGAGGCCACCCUGGCCCGCCUGGCCGCAGGUGGUUGGAUGAUGGCAACGGUCGCAUAGCGCGUGCUGAGCAACGGCAGUGAGCGUGCGUCGAGCGAUGGCUGCGGCUGGCCACAUAUGCUGCGGGGCGUAUGUGUGAUGGCGUAUGUGUUAUAUGAUACUUGGCAUGCUAUGUUUCAGCUGCAGCCCAAACAUUCUUUGAACAACGAUGUUGUGUCAGGCAUUUAACAGCCAGAUGAGCUACUGCUCCUCACCUCCUGUGACUGAUUUCUUUCUUUCCCCGUUAGUACUCACAACAAGCUUCCUUUUCCGCUUCUCCCGUUUAGAUUUCUAAUUUGAUCAUGAAGCGUGGAGAUGGAUCCUAUUUAUCAAGAACAAGUUGGUACAAUAUUCCUUGGAAGGAUGCAUCUGGAAGAUUUGUUGGGGCUGGCGUGGGGCGGUUCCGCGGCGGCAGCGACCGGAGGCGACUAGCGCGGCCGGAGACGGGACGGCGCGAGCGGAUCCGCGGAGGCGGCGACCCGAGGCGACGGGCGUGGCCGGAGGGGGACCGGCACGGGGUGGCCACCUCAGGUGAAGAACCGGUGGGAGGCAUCGAGAUCCGCAGCGGCCCACUGUUGGCUCCUCUCCCAGGUCGGUUCCGUCAAGCAAUGGGCAGAAUUGAUGUUCAUAGUGUUAUAGUUACUGCAGCCUUCAGCAUUAGGACCAUCCACGCCAAGUUGAAUGACAUGGCUCUAUAUGGAUUUGAGGCAAACGAACUGAUUCUACCUUGCUGUCAUAUCAUUGCGUGUCACAGGCCGAUCGUUUCAUAAAUACGAUGCUUAUCACGGAUUUAGUGAUAACUGGAAAUUGAUGGUUUGAUUAUUGAACGGGUGGGGGAGAAGAAGGGACUAUCAGUUGCUUAAUCAACUGGAGCGGCACACUUUCCACCAGCACAACCUGGGGAGAGACGCCCGCGUCGAUCUACGACAAGCUUGCCUAAUGCCAAGGUUAUUUAGGAUGAAACAGUUGGCUCCUAAAAUGGCAAGCAACUUGUUAAUGCAGUUUAGCAGUGGCUUAAUUUCCGAAGGAUGCUAGAGAACACUUGGUUCGAUACUACAUCAUGGACAAGAUGAAGGAUAUAGUGCUGCUGAUGGUACUUCAUUGUCUCCUACUAUACUUAUUUGACCUAUAAGGUUCUACAUAAUUCUUGGUUUGAUACUACUUGAUGGACAAAAUGAUUUACUUAUUAGCUAGAAGAUAUUGCUACUUGCUACUUGGUAGUUGUGGUUUUUUUAACCUUUUGAGAGAUAGAAGAAAGUCGUUCUACUUGCCACAAAUUCCUUAAAAAUAAUCUUGCUGUUGUUGCAUUCUGUGGUACAGAAUUGUGAGUAGCUCAGUGCAAUUGAAUUUGGCCAUUUUUGUCCAAUAUUUACUUCAAUCUAGGGUGCCUACUACUAUCAAAGGAUAUGUCUAACAACUGGAUCUUGUUUCCUUAGGUUUCUUUAUGGUGAUGAAGCUUGAUUUUUGUAAUGAUGAGACCUGUUCAGAACUAGGCAUUCAAAUGAUUGUACUGUUGCUAUGCGAGGUGGUGACCACAAAGAUGCCCGACCACUGGUUGCUACGGCCAUCUUUAUGGAUAACUGCGAAAAAGGAUUGUCCAUAAGGUGCUAAUGUGGAUAUACAUUUCAUUUCAAAAACUCAGAGGGCUGAUUCAAUUCCAUAUAUGCAGCCAAUUAUUGUUGCUUCAGAUGGGGCAAUGGUGGCUCAUGGAGAUCUGGGUGUUGAACCUGUGUCAUCUGGUGAAAUUAAUUCUUUUUUGGCCCACUUCAUAGAUUUCCUCACAUAAUCUGUCAGAGGCCGUUCAUUUUCUUGUUUGCGAUUUGUUAUUAUACUGAUGUCUGUUAUCUGCCAAAUGAAUCUGCAAUGAGUGUGCUCUAUUGUUCUAUUUCUUUUAUCAUUUCUUGUGAUGGAUCUUCAUGCCUACAGCCUACUGCCUGUACAGUCAGUUUAUUUUCUAUUUUAUGGUGUCCAGUAGUAUACGUAAACGUUAAUACCUUGCUUUCCGUAGAGAAUCUGAAUAACUAAGGAGUGAAUUUAGAAAGUUUGAGAGUGAAAAUAUGUCAGGUCACACAUGUUGUGUGCAACAUAGGUUACUUGCACAUUGUUUUCUGGUUACUACAAGGUUCUUUUAUGAAUGUUCCCUUUGCUCACAUUGGAUAUUCCAGAUAUAAAUUAUUAAUGUACUUUCAUCGCGAAGAUUCUAUGAGUCAAGAUGCACGGUCAUCUUAAUACUAUUCUUGCACAUUGAGUAUGUUUUCUCCGUACAAGGGAUAUUGGUAUUUUAAAAAUAAAACCAUUUUAAUGGCAUCCUUCGAACUUAUUAUCAUAGACAUAUGGUGUACUAAAGUUGCCCUUCACUGAAAAAUGUACUCUGAAGUAUGCUUUCUUGACAAUGUGAGUCUUAGGUUUCACUGGAAUUUAAGUUAUUUUUGUAUGUUUGACAAUGUUACUCUUAGAUUUCGUUUCAACAAAAGUCUGUUCGACGGGAACUUGAUUUGAUUGAUGAAAUGCCAAUGGUGGUGAUGUAGAAUUAUGAUGUCAGUGUUCACCAUUCCUGUUCCUAGGCAAUUAUGUUCUAAGGCAAUUAUGUUCAGUAAAGAGUUAUGGCUUAAGCUACACAGCAAGGGUGCCUUUGUUCGGCAGUUUGUUUGGUGGCCUGAUAGGGUACAUGGCCACAAGGACAACUGAAUCAACUCGUGCAUGUGUUUCUAAACAGGGGAUGUAAUUAAGCUCUUAUUCCUGAUAGCCUACAACCGUUUUGGCUAAGAUGGAACACCAAAACUUAGUGUAUGUCAGGUCCACAAACACUGAAGAUGGAGAAUGAGUCCACAACCACUGAAGAUGAUGUCAGGUCCAAGGAGGAUACAUGGGUUACCACCAAAGACAUGGGAUCCCCAGAUCUAGGUAUUGUAGAAUCUGAUGGCAUCACUGCUGGUAAACCGUCGGUGGAACGUGAGGGGUACGAAGAGGUCAAGCUCGAGAAGGACCAUCUACGGAGGAGAUGAAGGUCCCUAAGGCAAAGAUGGCAGCUUUGAGUGAUGCUUUGAAGGCAGUGGAUAUCGAGAUGGAAGAGUUGGAGUCGAGUGUAAUGCACAAGCUAUGCAUCAUAUAGUGAAUGCACCAUGGUGACUGUCACCAAUAUGUGCACGGCUUCAGUAACAUAUCUUUGUUUC